CUGAGAACGGAGUCGUGUGCUUUGGACUCAUCGACAUGAUUCGGCGGCGGCUGGAGGAGGAAGGAAGAGGAGGAAAAAAAAAGGGAGAGGGGGAAGGCGAAGCUUCGCUACUUUUUUUUUCUCCCUUUGCCAAAUAUUCUGGUGUUACCUUAACGCCGAUCUUGUUGGAUGUACACGUAACGGAGUGGACCGAGUCCGCCUUAAUUGGCUUGAGUGGAGGCUCGGGGGCUGCCUCGCGUUUGUUUUAGCCCGGCGCCAGGUUUUAGGCAGCCACCAGAGGCGGGGCAUAAGCGCUAAAGCAACAAGACAAUAGAAGCCUACAUCUUGCCCGAGAUAAUUAGCUUACAUGCUGAUGACAAGUUUUCUACUUGCAUACAGUAGAAGGGGAUGUUUGACACUACUUGGUCAUGGCUGAAAAUGGUACCCUUAGGCAUGGAGUGAAAUACACAUCUGGGCUAGGAGUUGGAGAAGCCAAAGGAGGAUCCUGGGGAAGAUGGAGCUGCUGCAAACAAACCUACAGUUGAACAACCCAAAGCUGCAGUAACUGGGGAUCACUAUCUCCAAGAACAUAAGAGAUCCUUAAAAGGAAAGAGUCACCUCUGAAAUGACUUCCAGUUCAAUACUCCAGGCACUGUAAACCUUCUGAAAUGGUUAUUUUUCAGGGUAAUCAGUUUAGGAAUCAUGACUCACCAAAACUACCUCAACCUAUUUUUCUGAUGCCUGAAAUAUCUUUUAACAAGAGACAUUUCUGUUUUACCGGACUAUGGCAUUUUAUGAAUAGCAGUAGUGAAGACAGAAGAUAUGGAGUCAGAAAUACUCCAUAUUGAAACAGUGCCAUACUAACUUAACGACCAUAGGCAAUUCACUUAAUCUUUUUACAGAUGGUGAAGCACAGUCUUUGUGGUGCACAGUUUUGUUCUCACAAAGCAUAACUGUGUAACCACCACUGGAAUCAAGACAGUACAGGUUUAUUAUCCCCCAAUUCCCUCAUGCUUAGUUAACCCUUCUUUUCCCUGCUUUCUAGCAACUACAGAUCUAUUUUCUGUCACUAUUGUUUGGCCUUUCCCAGAAUGUCAUAUAAACAAAAAUCAUAUAAUGUAUUCAUCAGAUUUUCAUAGCUGUGGCCCAAAUACCUGACAAGAACAAUUUAGGAUAACUUAGAAAAGGAAAAGUCUGAGCUCAUGGUGUCAGAAGUUUCAUUCUAAGACUGUCUGGUUCCAACACUGUAGAUCUAAGGUGAGGAGGGACAUCAUAGUGUAAAGGCAUAGCAGAGAGAAGCUGCUCUGCUCAUGGCAAAGUGGAAGUAGAGAGGAAAGGAGGAGCCAGUGGAGAAGACAUAAUUUCCAAGAGUCGGAUGCUCCAUUGACCUAACUUCCUUCAGUCAUGGUCCACCUGCCUACAGUUAUCACUCAGUUCAUUCAGUCUAGAAUGGACUGAUUAGCUUUCAUCUCAUGACCUAAUCAUUUCAUCUCUGAAUAUUUUUGCAUUAACAAGGAGCUUUGGGGGGACACCUCAUAUCCAUAUAGUGUAUAGCCUUUUGAUUGUGCCUAUUAACAGAAUGUAUUUGAGAUUUAUCAGUGUUGUUAUGUUUAUUCACAGUUCAUUCCUUUUAUUUCUGAUGACUGUUCUACUUUAUGGAGAUACCAUAGUACAUUCUCUAGCUGAAGAACAAUUUGUAUUGUUUCAAGAAGUAUUUGUGAGUGUGUGUGCUUAGGAAUAAAGCUACUAGAAACACACACAUGCAUUUGUGUGUGUGUGUGUGAAAACAUUGUAUUCAUGUCUCUGAGGUAAAUCUCUAGGCAUAUCUGAUUUCUGUCCCCUAUUUUUCCACUCACAAUCAUAUACUUAGGUACCUUUUGACCUCAUUGGGGGGGGAAAUCUAAUGUUCAGAACUACCAAUAACAGGAAGAAGAGAAAAAACGAUUUUUUUUGGAGAAUGAAAUCAUAGAUAGUAAAUUCUUAAGCACGUUCUCCACAUAUGCCGCGUGCUAGUUGGGUAUCUUUUGGAAUCAUUGUUACACGUUUGGCAUGGGUAGCACAAAGGUUGGUGUCUUCAAAAAAGCCAACAAGAUAGGCCUUGCUUGCCUCCUGCAAAGCACCAAUAGUUGCGCUCUGGAAGCGCAGAUCUGUUUUGAAAUCUUGGGCAAUUUCUCGCACCAGACGCUGAAAGGGGAGUUUGCCAACCAGCAGUUCGCUGGACUUCUGUCUGAUAGAGUGUAAUUUCAUGGAGUGCCACAGCACCGGGCCUGGAACGAUGCGGUUUCUUCACCCUUCCAGUAGAGGGUGCCUGCUUGCAAGUCGGCUUUUGUGGCCAGCUGUUACCUGGGUGCUUUACCACCAGUGGAUCUGGGGGGCAGUCUGCUUUGUAUGAGCCACAACAGAAAGACCUUCUUACUUGCCCGCCAUCGGCUGGAGCUCCGUGAGCUAGAGGCGGCGCUGGUGUUAGAGAGUGACAACUGCGUGGUGGCGACUGCGAACACAAUUCCGUUUGCUUAUUUUCUAAAUACAAAUACAGAAUGGACUGAAACCCCCAUAAUUUGCCGCAGUCUGGCUGGGCACAAAUCACCGAGCCACCGCAAAGCACUUGUAUGUUCAAACAGGAAACUUUAUUGCCUGAACUCCAACAGCACUCCACGCACACUUCCCAGGAACUCUCUCAAAGGCCACCCACGUGGCCCCUCUCCCACACACCACACCAACCGGAACUCCCUCCACCGGAACUUCACCAACCAACACAACUCCCCAGGAAAUCCCUGCAAGAACUCCAAAGUAGCGGGCGCCCCAGGAGGACAGUAGGAGUCUAUAUACAAUUGAAUCAAUCCAGCAUCAUCUUAAUGGCUCGCCUCUCAACCAUUACUUCUGGCAAAAUGCCAGGGGCCAUUCCGACUUGGCUCUCAACAAUAAUUCAUAUUUUGGGGAAUCAUGGGAGCCUGCCUACCCUGUAUUCAGCAGACCACAAAGUUUGGUUCAGGUUCAAAGAUGAGCAAGAACUUAGACUUUGUUCAAUGUUGGUUAUUUUUAUUCACUCCUAAAGCAGCCAACAAAAAGGGAAAAGUUUAGACAUCUAAGGAAGAUAUAGGUAGGGAAGUGUGGCUUCCCAUUGCAUCUCUCACAUCCCGAGGAGGAAUGCUAGAUGUCUAGUUCCUCUUGUUAGCCUUCCCAGAGAGAAGUGCUUCACCUGCCUGGAAAAGAGAAGACCUUUAUACCCCCAGUCAAACCAGCACACACUGUGCUCCUCCACAUUUAGCAAUGAUUCUGCACAUCAUUCAUGUGUAAUAGUUCUGGACCUUGAAGUUCUUUCAGUGACCACGCUGGGGAAAAUCCCUUAUCAACUCCCACUGUCCAGCAAGUCUGUUGGGGAAGUCCAGCCCUAGCUAUCCCAUUCCCUUGUCCCACCUGGUCAGUUGUCCCAACAAACUGUGAGCAUUUAAAGUGAUCCCAAAUCAGAAAUUCUUUUAUGGAUCUUCUAGAUAUACUCUUAACUAUUUAAUAUAUAUGAGAAUACUUUUAACCAAAAAAUAUUUAGUAGCCUGAAAUACCCUUGUUGUCAUACAUAGUUAUUUUGAUUUUUCCUAGUUCAGGCACUAAUUUGAAUAAGUCUCUUCUUUGUUGUUCAGUUACUUCUGAAGGACUGAAAUUAAUUGUACUAGUUUUUAAUAAAUAUUAUGUCUAAUUCUUAAGGAAAAUUAAAUAAUUUGGAAAGUAUACCGAAGCCAAUCUAUGAACAUGAGUUAUUUUAAACUUAAAGUUUUGAGUUUCCUGUACAUGGGGGUUUACUGCAGUUAUUUCCUGCAAAAUCCAGUUCUGUGGCAGAUUCUAAUGGCCUCAUCACAUUCGAGAUUCAGUAGAGUUAAGUGUUACUAGGUUUUCUUUUGCUAGUCGGAAUGAAUGGCAAUCUUUUUUUCAAAUCAUAUCCUUAAGUUCAAAAGCUCAUUUCAUUCACUGAUCUUUUUAAAUUUUUUUGUAACAGUAUUUAAAUUUAACAAAUUGCUGCAUGUGAUUUAUUUUCAAUUUAAUUACAGAGCCAAAAUGCUACAUAUAAUGAUGGAUGUAAGUACCAGUCAAUUCUUCACCCUGAUGGCUUGAGAAAGGCUGUAAAGUGUACCAUAGUCUUUCUAAAUAAUCUCCUAUGAGCCGUCUUUCCCUGCCAUUGAAUCAGUGCUGACAAAUAAAGUAUCAGAAUAGUAACUAAUAAGAGGUCAUGCUUUUGUGCCAAGCCCACCCCUUGCUUCUCUUUCAUAUUGAUGCUAAUGUGAUGCCAUUUAACACAGUUCAAGAAAAUUCAUAAAAUCAGUCUCUGCUUAGGAAGAACCUUUGAUCAAAGAUGGAUAAAUCACAGUGCCCCAGGAAUUGGUUUAAAAUAAGUAGCAGUGUAAUAUAUUUCUUUUUGUUAUGAGUUAAAGCUCUAAAAUGUAUUUUUAUAUUCUAGGGGGGAAAAACUCAGUUCUCUGAAACAAAAUGACAAGUAAAAAAGAAAACAAAACAAAAACCCUGCCCCACCCAUUGAAAACAUCAAUCUUAAUUCUAUAUUAUGCAACUAGUGGGUUCCAAAAUAAAGUUUCAGUUCAUACCUAUUUUCUGAGAGUUAGUCCACACAAGUGAAGUUCUUCCUUGAGUUAGAAGUCUUAUAUCUUUAAAAAAUUUUUAAAUUGAUUUUUAUCAUUGCAUAAUAAUUAUCAUAAUAGUAGGAUUAGUUGUUACAUAUGCCUACAUGCACACAACAUAAUUUCAUUAAUUUUAUUACUGAGUACCUCUCCUUUCUCUCUCCUCUUCCCUUCUCGUACUUUUCUUCCUUUAUUCUACUGGUCUCCCUUCUAUUUUAUUAGAUCCCAUGCCUUUUUCCCUUUUUUUGCUCUCUAGCUUCCACAUUAGAGGCCUUAUGUAUUCUUAAUAUUAUAUAUU